CCUACGGGUGGCAGCAGUAGGGAAUAUUGCUCAAUGGGCGAAACCCUGAACCAGCGACGCCGCGUGAGGGAUGAAGGUUUUCGGGUUGUAAACUCCUUUUGUUAGGGAAGAUAAUGACGGUAUCGAACGAAUAAGCAACGGCUAACUCCGUGCCAGCAGCCGCGGUAUUACGGAGGGUCCAAGCGUUACUCGGAAUCAAUGGGCGGAAAGUGCGCGUAGGCGGGAUAGCAAGUCAGAUGUGAAGUCCUAUGGCUUAACCAUAGAACGGCAUUUGAAACUGUUAGUCUAGAGUAUGGGAGAGGUAGGUGGAAUUCUUGGUGUAGGGGUAAAAUCCGUAGAGAUCAAGAGGAAUACUCAUGGCGAAGGCGACCUGCUAGCACAUAACUGACGCUGAGGCGCGAAAGCGUGGGGAGCAAACAGGAUUAGAUACCCUUGUAGUC
rnacentral:rRNA from 1 species